UACGAAGGGGGCUAGCGUUGUUCGGAAUUACUGGGCGUAAAGGGUGCGUAGGUUGUUUAACAAGUUAGUGGUGAAAGCCCAGGGCUCAACUCUGGAACUGCCAUUAAAACUGUUAGGCUAGAGAAUGUUAGAGGUGAGUGGAAUUUCUAGUGUAGGAGUGAAAUCCGUAGAUAUUAGAAGGAACAUCAAUGGCGAAGGCAGCUCACUGGGUCAUAUCUGACACUGAGGCACGAAAGCGUGGGUAGCAAACAGG
rnacentral:rRNA from 1 species